UACGAAGGGGGCUAGCGUUGUUCGGAAUUACUGGGCGUAAAGGGCGCGUAGGCGGUGUGUCAAGUCAGGCGUGAAAGCCCCGGGCUCAACCUGGGAACCGCGCUUGAGACUGCACGUCUAGAGUGUCGGAGAGGGAAGCGGAAUUCCUGGUGUAGAGGUGAAAUUCGUAGAUAUCAGGAGGAACACCGGUGGCGAAGGCGGCUUCCUGGACGAUUACUGACGCUGAGACGCGAAAGCGUGGGGAGCAAACAGG
rnacentral:rRNA from 1 species